ACAGUCACUGACAUUAGAUACCCGCGUAGUCCAGGGUGUAAACGCUGCAGACUUGGUGUUGGAAAUCCUUCGAGGGUAUUCAGUGCCGGAGAGAAGUUGUUAAGUCUGCUACUUGGGAGUACGUCCGCAAGGAUGAAACUUAAAGGAAUUGGCGGGGGAGCACCGCAACGGGAGGAGCGUGCGGUUUAAUUGGAUUCAACACCGGAAAACUCACCAGGGAGACUGUUACAUGAAACCCAGACUAAUGAUCUUGGUUGAUUUCAG
rnacentral:rRNA from 1 species